rnacentral:lncRNA from 1 species
UGAUAUUUUAUGUAAUUAGAGGGUCUUUUAUGCAUUUGUGCUUUGCGUGGCUACUGUGGGCAGUGUGUAGGAGUUUGUAUUGAUCGCUGGACUGAUUGUCCAUGGUCCGUUAGCUUUUGCGGAAAUCGGUAGGUCGAUUUCGGUGCGUUUUUCGGCGAAAUUCGCCGAAAGAACGCGGUUUCGGUUCGGAUUCUUUCCGACGGUGUUUGGUUGCUUCGUGUUUUGUCGCUAAGCCUUGUUGGCUAGUCACCAUCGUCAUUUUGUGGGUUCGAUGAUGAUAGGUGAGCGACGGAGGGUUCCGGUGUCGAAAUAGACACUUCCGGGAACCCGGAUUCGUACGAUGAUCCGGCGAUGAUCGUAUGUUGUGU